CGAGCCGGCCGGGCGGUCGCGGCGAAGGUCUUCGGACCUUUUCCGAGGAACGUCCGGGCUCCACAGAGCAGGGUGGUGGGUAACGCCCACCCGGGGUGACCCGCGGGACAGUGCCACAGAAAACAAACCGCCCAGCACUCUGGUGCUGGGUAAGGGUGAAACGGUGGUGUAAGAGACCACCAGCGCCUGAGGUGACUCAGGCGGCUAGGUAAACCCCACCCGGAGCAAGGUCAAGAGGAGUGCUGUAAAAGGCACUCUGCGCGGAUGUUCGAGGGCUGCCCGCCCGAGUCCGCGGGUAGACCGCACGAGGCUCGCAGCAAUGCGGGUCCCAGAUGGAUGACCGCCUCCCCGGCCACCGCAAGGCGCCCGGGAGACAGAACCCGGCGUACAGGCCGACUCGUCCG
rnacentral:RNase_P_RNA from 1 species